UUUCUUGUAGUUUAAACAAAACUAUUGAUCUUCAAUCAAUAAUUAGAGACAAUCUCUCAAGAACA
rnacentral:tRNA from 1 species